AUUGAACGCUGGCGGCAUGCUUUACACAUGCAAGUCGAACGGCAGCGCGGGCUUCGGCCUGGCGGCGAGUUGCGAACGGGUGAGUAAUGCAUCGGAACGUGCCCAGUAGUGGGGGAUAGCCCGGCGAAAGCCGGAUUAAUACCGCAUACGACCUGAGGGUGAAAGCGGGGGACCGAAAGGCCUCGCGCUAUUGGAGCGGCCGAUGUCGGAUUAGCUAGUUGGUGGGGUAAAGGCUUACCAAGGCGACGAUCCGUAGCUGGUCUGAGAGGACGACCAGCCACACUGGGACUGAGACACGGCCCAGACUCCUACGGGAGGCAGCAGUGGGGAAUUUUGGACAAUGGGGGCAACCCUGAUCCAGCCAUGCCGCGUGCGGGAAGAAGGCCUUCGGGUUGUAAACCGCUUUUGUUCGGGAAGAAAUCCUCUGGGCUAAUACCCCGGGGGGAUGACGGUACCGGAAGAAUAAGCACCGGCUAACUACGUG
rnacentral:rRNA from 1 species